rnacentral:ncRNA from 2 species
CACGGUGAACGGUGAGUGGGAGUCCCAGAGUUACCCGUUUUGGGUGCACUAAUCGGUUAGUCUCGGACCCUCACCAGGUCUGUG